CUAACAUAGUGAAAGCAAGGAGAGCAUGUAGCGGCCAUGCCCAGAGUCAUGCAAUGAACUGUCCAUAGGUCUUUGUUGAGUGAUUCAGGGUCUCCAGAGUCUUGCCACAAUGAGAGUCAUCUCUGCUAUUCUUCGGUUUUGUCCCUGAAGAAGCCACAUGAUGCCUGCCAAUCCCACUGGCUAAAUUAUUUGAACUGGAAACACACUAAUCUGUGCUUAUGAGAAUAAAGAAAGACAAGAAGCCAAGCAAUCAGAUUUAGAAGAUGUCUUUGGAUGCAUUUGAAGAUCUACAUGAUGUGCACAGCCCUGAACACAAGUUCCUGUUAUCCACCCAUCCUUACUGCCAGAGGGGCCUGAGAACAUGUUCUUCUGACCUUGGUAGUUUUCCACCAUACCUGCUCACCGGUAUAUAAGGCUCCUCUCUUG